CACCAGGCCAUGCUCAUCUUUCCCCACCCCAGGCAGAACUCCAGCAACAUUUAAUUAGUUUCUAAAGUUCAUCCCUUGGGAAUGUUCACCCAUAUAUCUGGGCAGCCAGUCACUGGCACUCAUAUCACCCUCCAGAUCCUGAGUUCUGAGCUAAAAAGAGCCAAGCAGAAAGCCCUGUAGGGGAAAGGGGGUACAGGUGUGGAGAGAGGGGGAGAUCUCUUUGGAGACAAUCUCUGUAAGUAUUAACAAGGUGAGUGGGGACUAGAGAGACCCUGCAGAUAAGACAGCUAGUAUCCAGCAGCUGCCCCCAUUGAAGCACUCACGGCAUCUCCUCAGGUAGGACAUCUGCCAGGAUAUUGAUAGAAUCUGUCUUAGCCUUGGAGGUGGGAGCUGCAGCCAGCAGAAUCUUAAGCAGAGCGAUCUGGAAAGUAGAAAAUAAAGAAAUCCACCACUGUCCAACCCACUCAGCAAGGCAGUGGUUCUUCCACAUCUUAACAUCCCUGUGAAAAGUGUUUUAAAGCCAUUCUCUAAGUUCUUCCCUCAAUGACCAUAUCUCUCUAGCAUCCAGAAGACCAAUCAGGUGCCCAGUCCUGAGAGGCCUGCCCGUGAGGAUAAAGAGAAAGCCAGAGGGAGCUCAUUGGCUGUUCUGCUUCAAGACUGUUCUUUCCAGGGCCUGGCCUGGUGGCUGAUGCCUGUAAUCCCAGCACUUUCAGAGGCUGAGACAGGCAGAUCACUUGAGGUCAGAAGUUCAAGACCAGCCUGGCCAAAAUGGCGCAAUCCCGUCUCUACUAAAAAUACAAAAAUUAGCUGGUGUGGUGUCACAUACCUGUAAUCCCAGCUAUUUGAGAGGCUGAGGCAGGAGAAUCACUUGAACCCGGGAGGUGGAGGUUGCAGUGAGCCAAGAUCAUGCCACUGCACUCCAGCCUAGGCAAUAAAGUGAGACUCUGCCUCAAAAAAAUAAAUUAAAAAAAAGACUGUUCUUUUCAAAGGGGAAUAUGGACAGAACAGAAUGAGAGGGACAGUGUGUAGAAAUAAGGUGAGAGGCAUAAGCCCAACUUCUCCCACUCUUUUCCUUCCUCUAACCCAAACCAUUGGCAUCUUCCCCACCCCCCAGCCUGAGGCUAUCUAGGACAUGACAGACCACAGCAGAUAUCAAAGGGUCUACAGUACUUAUCUCGGAGGAGGGUCCCCAAUGUAUCCUGUAGAGAAACUCAACUUAUUCCCCACCUCUCCCAAAGAAGGACUAGAGAGAACAGUACCAUCAGAGGAGUACUGAGGAAAGUCAGAAGUUUCAUGUCAGAGAAUGCCUUGCCAAAUGGGCACAGGCUCAGGAAACAAGCUCAAGUGUUGGAUGGAUCGGCUUGAAAUGGUUUUUAGCUGUCUGUUCCUUGCAGCAGAGAAAGGCAGUUCUGGCCUAGCCACCUCCUUACCAUAUACUGGGGGAGGCUGUACAGCAUUCCCUGGUACAGAAUUUCACAUGGCGUCUCUGGUACCACCUCUUCCCCCUAUGACAAGAAAUACAUGAUUUGCCAAGGCCACUUUCCAGGUGGCCAAAGGCUUUAUUUUCUUGGUUGUGAAGGGUGACCUGAAAAGAGCACUAAGCUGGGAGUCAGAUCUAGGUUCCUACCCUAGCUCUGUUAAUGACUCACUGUACAUCCUUAGAUAAGUCACAUUCAUUCUCUGAGUCCUAGUUUACUCUUCAAUAGGACCAUCAGGCUGGCCUGGAUGACCUCUUAGGACCUGGGAUACUGGAACAGAUGCUCCAUAUAGAAGCACUUCCCAUGGUGUCAAUCUGAGGCUGGAAGGAGAGCACUUUCCUUCCUAAUUAUGCUCUGCUUAGGUGAACAUUCAAUUAGUUUGCCUUCUGUGAAAAUACACCAGCUGGCGGACUGAGGAAGAGGAGGACAGAAGCUUACUGCUAGGCAGAGGGAAGCAAGUUUGGAAUUUUAAAUCUUGUCACAAAUAAAAGAAGAUUGGACAGAAAUAAGCCAAAAAGUUAACAGUGACUGUCUCUGGUUGUUAAGAUUGUGGGUGAUUUUUCUUUUCUCCCUUCGUCACAUUUUUAUAUUUGUUCCAAAUUUUCUACAAUGAGUAAGCAUUACUUUAUAAAACAAAAAUAAAGGUUAAAAAAUUGCAUUGCAGAUAA